UACGGAGGGGGCAAGCGUUGUCCGGAUUUAUUGGGCGUAAAGAGCGUGUAGGCGGCCAAGCAGGUCCGCUGUGAAAACUCGAGGCUCAACCUCGAGACGUCGGUGGAAACCGUUUGGCUAGAGUCCGGAAGAGGAGAGUGGAAUUCCCGGUGUAGCGGUGAAAUGCGCAGAUAUCGGGAAGAACACCCGUGGCGAAGGCGGCACUCUGGGACGGUACUGACGCUGAGACGCGAAAGCGUGGGGAGCGAACAGG
rnacentral:rRNA from 1 species